AAGUAUUGAAGUAACAAUUACAUUUAGUUUCGACCUAAAAUUAGAGAUAUCUCCUUACUUA
rnacentral:tRNA from 1 species